rnacentral:rRNA from 1 species
GAGAAUCUGGAGCAGGUGCUGCAUGGCUGUCGUCAGCUCGUGUCGUGAGAUGUGGGUUAAGUCCCGGCAACGAGCGCAACCCUUGCCUUUAGUUGCCAGCAGUCGGGCUGGGCACUCUAAAGGGACUGCCGGUGUUAAACCGGAGGAAGGUGGGGGAUGACGUCAAGUCCUCAUGGCCUUUAUGACCAGGGCUACACACGUACUACAAUGGCCGAUACAAAGGGCAGCGACACUGCGAGGUGAAGCCAAUCCCGUAAAAUCGGUCUCAGUCCGGAUUGGAGUCUGCAACUCGACUCCAUGAAGUUGGAAUCGCUAGUAAUCGUGGAUCAGCAUGCCACGGUGAAUACGUUCCCGGGCCUU